rnacentral:rRNA from 1 species
GACGAACGCUGGCGGCGUGCCUAACACAUGCAAGUCGAACGGAAAGGCCCUGCUUUUGUGGGGUGCUCGAGUGGCGAACGGGUGAGUAACACGUGAGUAACCUGCCCUUGUCUUUGGGAUAACAUCAGGAAACUGGGGCUAAUACCGGAUAGGAGCUUCUGUCGCAUGGUGGGGGUUGGAAAGUUUCGGCGGUAGGAGAUGGACUCGCGGCUUAUCAGCUUGUUGGUGGGGUAGUGGAUUACCAAGGCUGAGACGGAUAGCCGGCCUGUGAGGGGGGACGGGGACAAGAAGACUACGAUACGGACCAGUCGCGAACAGGAGGCAGCGGGUGGGAAUAUUACGCAAUGAGACCACGCCUGAUAAGAAGGCGCCGCGUGCGGAAUGACGGUCUAUGGGUUAAAAACCGCUGUCGCCUGAGACGAAGCGUGAGUGACGGUAAUGAAUAAAGAAGCACCGGCUAACUACGUG